rnacentral:rRNA from 1 species
CUCACCAGGUCAGGACACGGUAAGGAUUGACGGACUGAAGGCUCUUUCUCGAUUCCGUGGAAAGUGGUGCAUGGCCGUUUUUGGUUGGUGGAUCGAUCCGUCUGGUUAAUUCCGUUAACGAACGAGACCUCGGCACUCCGAAUAGCGCGGCGGACGUCGCGGCCUCCGGGCCGUCUUCCGCACGAGCUUCUUAGAGGGACCGUCCCCGCCGGGGAAGGAGGUGCGAGGCAACGACAGGUCUGUGAUGCCCUUAGAUGUUCUGGGCCGCACGCGCAUUACACUGACGCGUCCAACGGGUGACUCCCGACCCGAAGGGGCCGGGGAAUCCGCAAGGCGCGUCGUGAUGGGGAUUGAACGUUGCAAUUGUUGUUCACGAACGAGGAAUUCCUAGUAGGCGCGGGUCAUCAACCCGCGCCGAUUACGUCCCUG